rnacentral:rRNA from 1 species
GAUGAACGCUGGCGGCGUGCCUAAUACAUGCAAGUCGAGCGAACAGACGAGGAGCUUGCUCCUCUGACGUUAGCGGCGGACGGGUGAGUAACACGUGGAUAACCUCCCUAUAAGACUGGGAUACCUUCGGGAAACCGGAGCUAAUACCGGAUAAUAUAUUGAACCACAUGGUUCAAUAGUAAAAGACGGUUUUGCUGUCACUUAUAGAUUGAUCCGCGCCGCAUUAGCUAGUUGGUAAGGUAACGGCUUACCAAGACAACGAUGCGUAGCCGACCUGAGAGGGUGAGCGGCCACACUGGAACUGAGACACGGUCCAGACUCCUACGGGAGGCAGCAGUAGGGAAUCCUCCGCAAUGGGCGAAAGCCUGACGGAGCAACGCCGCGUGAGUGAUGAAGGUCUUCGGAUCGUAAAACUCUGUUAUUAGGGAAGAAGAAAUGUGUAAGUAACUAUGCACGUCUUGACGGUACCGAAUCAGAAAGCCACGGCUAACUACGUG